rnacentral:rRNA from 1 species
CAAUAAGCGGAGGAAAAGAAACCAACAGGGAUUGCCCUAGUAACGGCGAGUGAAGCGGCAACAGCUCAAAUUUGAAAUCUGGCUACAUCCCGUAGUCCGAGUUGUAAUUUGUAGAGGAUGCUUUUGGUGAGGUGCCUUCCGAGUUCCCUGGAACGGGACGCCAUAGAGGGUGAGAGCCCCGUACGGUUGGAUACCAAGCCUCUGUAUAGCUCCUUCAACGAGUCGAGUAGUUUGGGAAUGCUGCUCUAAAUGGGAGGUAUAUCUCUUCUAAAGCUAAAUAUAGGCUAGAGACCGAUAGCGCACAAGUAGAGUGAUCGAAAGAUGAAAAGCACUUUGAAAAGAGAGUUAAACAGCACGUGAAAUUGUUGAAAGGGAAGCGCCUAUGACCAGACUUGUUUCUGGCAGUUUCGUUAGCCCUCGGGCUGAUUUACUCUGUCCAGUACAGGCCAGCAUCAGUUUGCUGUCGGGGAGAAAGGCUCUGGGAACGUAGCUCCCCCCUUCUGGGGGGAGUGUUAUAGCCCUCUGCAUAAUACCCUUCGGCAGACUGAGGACCGCGCUUCGGCAAGGAUGCUGGCGUAAUGG